UGUAUAUAUCAACCUUUUGUCGGUAAAAUGGAUCCGUAACUUCAGAAAAAGGAUUGGCUCAGAGGGCUGGACAUGGGGGUCCCAGUCCCGAACCCGUCAGCUUUCGGUGAACUGCUCGAGCUGCUCCCGCGGAGAGAGUGGGUCGCCGCGUGCCGGCUGGGGGACGGACUGGGAACGGUUCCUUCGGGGUCCUUCCUCGCGCGUCGAACAGCCAACUCAGAACUGGUACGGACAAGGGGAAUCUGAAUGUUUAAUUAAAACAAAUCAUUGCGAUGGUCCCAAUGGAUGUUCACGCAAUGUGAUUUCUGCCCAGUGCUCUGAAUGUAAAAGUGAAAAAAUUCAACCAAGCGCGGGUAAACAGCGGGAGUAACUAUAACUCUAUUAAGGUAGCCAAAUGCCUCGUCAUCUAAUUAGUGACGCGCAUGAAUGGAUUAACAAGAUUUCCACUGUCCCUGUCUACUAUCCAGCAAAACCACAUCCAAGGGAACGGGCUUGG
rnacentral:ncRNA from 1 species